AGGAGCCGUAUGAAGCGAGAGUUUCACGUACGGUUCUGUGAGCGGCUAGAGGGGAAGUUCCUCUGGUCUACUCUAC
rnacentral:ncRNA from 1 species